UCAAACUUGGUCAUUUAGAGGAAGUAAAAGUCGUAACAAGGUUUCCGUAGGUGAACCUGCGGAAGGAUCAUUACCGAACCGUCAAACAUGGGUUGUUGCUGGCCUUCAAACGGGGGCAUGUGCACGCUCUGUUUACACAUCCACUCACACCUGUGCACCCUCCGUAGUUCUAUGGUUUGGAAGGCCUUGUCUUCCUUCUGUAGCUCUGCGUCUUCACACACACACUGUAACGAUGUAGUAUGGAAUGCUUUCUGCGUUUAACGCGAUACAAUACAACUUUCAGCAACGGAUCUCUUGGCUCUCGCAUCGAUGAAGAACGCAGC
rnacentral:misc_RNA from 1 species